UUCAUUUUCAAUACUGGUAAUCCUAAACCAUGAAGAAAGCCAGAUGCAUAUUCUUCUUAAUUUUGUUUUCUCAUUCCAAGUAACAAGAGUUAACUGAUCGAACCUUUGGUUUCUUCGUUGGUGGUGGGAUAUUUGGGAUUGAAGAAUCUGUAGCAUUAGUCUUUGCCUGGCAGUGAUCUGAGCCAUUGACUCCAGUAGAGAAACAAAUGGUUUGCAGAGAGGUGACACAACACUCUUGCCAAUUGAGAUUAGUCAGGUCUUUGAUUGCUUCAUCGAGAGUAACGAAAGCUUCUGAUGAGAUCUCCUCUUGUAAUGUGGAGCGUCGCAGGUCUAUUAACUCCAUUGUGUUCACAGCAUCGGCCAGGACUUUCUUUUGACGCUUGCUUUUCUUGAAUCCGUGAAUGCUGAUGAUCUCAUUGAGAUUAGGGAUAGUGAGAUCGGAUUGCUUUUUGCUGUCAAUGAAAUCGACGUACUUCUCUAAGGUCAUCUUCUGUGAUUUCUUUUUCAUUCUGAAUCUACUUUCCACCAUUUGCAUCUUCUCUCUCUGUUUCUCUUAGUGAUCUCGACUGUGUUUUUCAG
rnacentral:misc_RNA from 1 species